GUACUGCUGAAGAGUCCCAUACUAGGACGAAACGGCCGUCCAAUGC
rnacentral:hammerhead_ribozyme from 1 species